rnacentral:lncRNA from 1 species
GUGGCUAAACUUACGAGUACAAGAAAUGAAAGGGGGAAGAUCUACGCAUAGCGGAUGUGAACUACGGAUGAUCAACUGAAUGACCCUGAACACCUACCUACGUCAGUCAUAACCCCACCGUGUCCUCGAUCGGAGAAAGAACUCACGAAAGAGACAGUCACGGUUACGCACACAGUUGGCAUAUUAUAAUUAAGUUAACUUCAAGUUAUCUAGAACCAGUGUUAAACAAAGUAUCCACGUAGCCACAUAACCGCGGGCACGGCUUUCCGAAAGAUUUAACCCUGCAGGGAUGCUCCAACUAGUCCAUCACAAAUUACCACAAGCCGCAUAGAAAUCCUCAAUCACGAAGCUCGCGAUCUCGUCGGAUUCCCUAGUGGAAAACCUCAACUCCGAGAUUACCCAAAGCAUCACCGGAAUCCCGAUGCACAAGAUAUCUCGUCAAAGGUAAAACUAAUCCAGCAAGGCCGCCCGACGUGUCGACGAUCCCGAUAGGAGUCGCGUACCUCGUUCUCAGGACACGGCGGAUGAGCUAGACGUCGGGAUCGCUAAACCUCCGGGUGACCAGAGGGGCGCCGGACAUCGCUCAGGUGGGACCAACACUCAUGAGGAGCACUGGCCCGGGGGUUGAUUAAAUUAUCCUCGGGGUCCGGAAAGUCCCUAUGCAAUUUAUUAGGUGUUUAGGCAAAUGUAGUACC